rnacentral:rRNA from 1 species
UACGAGGGGGCGAGCGUUGUUCGGAAUUAUUGGGCGUAAAGGGUGCGUAGGCGGUUUGGUAAGUCUGAUGUGAAAUCUAUGGGCUCAACUCAUAGUCUGCAUCGGAAACUGCCGGGCUUGAGUGUGGGAGAGGUGAGUGGAAUUCCUGGUGUAGCGGUGAAAUGCGUAGAUAUCAGGAGGAACACCUGUGGCGAAAGCGGCUCACUGGACCAUAACUGACGCUGAUGCACGAAAAGCUAGGGGGAGCAAACAGG